AGUGAACGCUGGCGGUAGGCCUAACACAUGCAAGUCGAACGGCAGCACAGGAGAGCUUGCUCUCUGGGUGGCGAGUGGCGGACGGGUGAGGAAUACAUCAGAAUCUACUCUGUCGUGGGGGAGAACGUAGGGAAACUUACGCUAAUACCGCAUACGACCUACGGGUGAAAGCAGGGGACCUUCGGGCCUUGCGCGAUUGAAUGAGCCGAUGUCGGAUUAGCUAGUUGGCGGGGUAAAGGCCCACCAAGGCGACGAUCCGUAGCUGGUCUGAGAGGAUGAUCAGCCACACUGGAACUGAGCCACGGUCCCGACUCCUACGGGAGGCAGCAGUGGGGAAUAUUGGACAAUGGGCGCAAGCCUGAUCCAGCCAUACCGCGUGGGCGAAGAAGGCCUUCGGGUUGUAAAGCCCUUUUGUUGGGAAAGAAAUCCAGCUGGCUAAUACCCGGUUGGGAUGACGGUACCCAAAGAAUAAGCACCGGCUAACUUCGUGCCAGCCGCCGCGGUAA
rnacentral:rRNA from 1 species